GGGGAAUCUUCCGCAAUGGACGAAAGUCUGACGGAGCAACGCCGCGUGAGUGAUGACGGCCUUCGGGUUGUAAAGCUCUGUUAAUCGGGACGAAAGGCCUUCUUGCGAAUAGUGAGAAGGAUUGACGGUACCGGAAUAGAAAGCCACGGCUAACUACGUGCCAGCAGCCGCGGUAAUACGUAGGUGGCAAGCGUUGUCCGGAAUUAUUGGGCGUAAAGCGCGCGCAGGCGGAUAGGUCAGUCUGUCUUAAAAGUUCGGGGCUUAACCCCGUGAUGGGAUGGAAACUGCCAAUCUAGAGUAUCGGAGAGGAAAGUGGAAUUCCUAGUGUAGCGGUGAAAUGCGUAGAUAUUAGGAAGAACACCAGUGGCGAAGGCGACUUUCUGGACGAAAACUGACGCUGAGGCGCGAAAGCCAGGGGAGCGAACGGGAUUAGAUACCCCGGUAGUCCUGGCCGUAAACGAUGGGUACUAGGUGUAGGAGGUAUCGACCCCUUCUG
rnacentral:rRNA from 1 species